AGACAUUCCAUGACUUCCGGGCACUUCGUAAGGUUUAAAUAAGGAUGCUUCGCGUUUGCUCCCUCUUUUGGAGACAGAUUCGCAUUCGUCGCUUUUUCGUCUUGGAUUUGUUAAGGAUUCCAAGUAACUCUUAUUUGGAAAGAAGACGAUCUGCACUUCACAUUUUGGCAUUGACAUUUAAUUUUAGGGUCCUUUAUAUAGAAAGGAGAGUAGGUAAACUGAUUUUUUUUAACAGGGAGGGUCUGACGAUCUUUGGCAGACUUGGAGCAAAAGAUUGAGGUGCAUUGCAUGCCUCCUUUUGAGAGUCUUGCUCUGUUGCUCAGGCUGUAGUGCAGUGGUGCGAUCUUGGCUGCAACCUCAGCCUCCCAAGUAGCUGGGAUUACAAAUGUAAGCUACCACACCCAGCCCUCAUACCUCUUUUAAAAGUCACCCCGUUUUGCAGAAAGUCUGCUGUUUUGUACUGAAGGCUUUGGAAUUUGGCAUUUAGCUAGGAAUGCACGUUCUUUCACCUCAUUCACACUUUAAGAACCACAGAAGUGACUCUGCUUGGCCAGAAGGCACACAGUGUUGGUGGGUAUAUUAAAAGUCCUUGAGUAUUUUGCUUUUGUGUUUUUAUUUUUUUUGAGACGGAGCCUCGUUUGUCUCCCAGGCUGGAGUGCAGUGGCAUGAUCUCGCUCACUGCAACCUCUGCCUCCCAGGUUCAGGAGAUUCUCCUGCCUCAGCCUCCUAGUAGCUGGGACUUAUAGGCGUGUAGCACCACACCUGGCUGAUUUUUGUAUUUUUAGUAGAGAGGUUUCACCGUAUUGGUCAGGCUGGUCUCAACUCCUGACCUCGUGAUCUGCCCGCUUCGGCCUCCUAAAGUGCUGGGAUUACAGGCGUGAGCCACCCUUCCCGGCCACUUUUGAAUGAUCUCUAAUGUAUUUGUAAUUUACCUAACAUUGCCUAAUCUGCUAUGUUAAUGUAUUUAUGAAUUAAAAUAAAUGACUGUACAUGUUUGUGGUUCAUUUUUGUGGAGAUGGCUGUGGUGACAUCAGCCAAGAAUCUAUGAAUGGUACUGCUGAAGGAAACUAGCAUGAUAGCUUCAGUUCUAAAGGCCCUGAAACCUAGUCUCAGGUGGGUCUGCCUUGGGUUCCCUUUAUAUUGGCAGUUUAUUGGGAAGAUGGAUAUUAGGUCCUGACCAAUAGGACCAUAAGUUUGGGUUGAGUGCAAGAUGAGUUGUUAGACCGAUUCUUUAGCUUCCUGCAAUGUAGUGGAGGAAAAGUCGAUGGUAGCAUUGGGAGGUUGUGGUAUCCCUAGUGGAUGAGUUGUAUGAGCCUUUACUACCUGGUGCACCUCAGCCUGAAGAUUGCCAGAAUUGCUUGCCUCAUGACAUGAGUCAUAAUGGAAACAUUGUCAAGCCCCCUGCACUGGCUGCCAACAUAAAUGUUCAGUGCCCUGAAGGAUGGGGACUGAAGGGGGAUCAUCUGGAAGGUAAAGUUACCUACUGGCAUAGGGGAGGUGGGGCAGCCAUUAAGCCAUUUGGAAGUUGAUGGGGACAGGUUUGAGGGAGGUGGGUGAGACAGGAGUUUGGCGGACUAUAGAGCUUGCUUGUCAGGGUGUUGAGGGCAGGGUUGGUUUGAGAAUGGAAGCUAGUUACUAGGUAUGAUUGUGGGGGAACAGCUUGUUUUUCUUACAAGCUAAGAGGAGUGAAGCAGUGUUUAAGAGGGCAUCUUAGAUGCAGCCAGGCUUGGUGGCUCACACCUGUAAUCCCAGCACUUAGGCUGAGGCAGGCGGAUUGCAACAUCUAGACAUCCUGGCGAACAUGGUGAAACCCUGUCUGUACUAAAAAUACAAAACAACUGGGCAUGGUGGUGUGCACCUGUAGGAGGCUGAGGCAGGAGAAUUGCUGGAACCCGGGAGAUGGAGGUUGUACUGAGCUGAGACCUUGCCACUGCACUCCAGCCUGGUGACAGUUAAGUCUCAAAAGGCAUCUUCCUAAACCAGUUGUAUUUGUGCUUACCUGUGCCAGGCACUGUUCUAGGUAAGCACUUGGCAUAUUAAUGCUGAGGUGGGCUUUAACACAGCAUAUUCCCAUGGGGAAACCCAGGAACCAAAAGACUAAUUGUCCAAGUCCACAACUAGAAGUGGCACCUCUGCAGAAAUAGGCAUGAAGUUCCCUGCUCAGGAAGAAGCCAGAUGAGUCAGUCCCAUUCUGUGUAUGCCCAGUCCCAUCCGUGUCCUGCUGUAUCUACAUAGAUCUCACCUGAGUAAAGUGAUUUUUUUCUGAA
rnacentral:sRNA from 1 species